rnacentral:rRNA from 3 species
AUAGAUCCUGAAACCGUAUGCUUACAAAAAGUAGGAGCCCGCAAGGGUGACUGCGUACCUUUUGUAUAAUGGGUCAGCGACUUACAUUCAGUGGCAAGGUUAACCGAAUAGGGAAGCCGUAGAGAAAUCGAGUCCGAAUAGGGCGAAUUAGUCGCUGGGUGUAGACCCGAAACCAAGUGAUCUAUCCAUGGGCAGGAUGAAGGUGCCGUAACAGGUACUGGAGGUCCGAACCGACUAAUGUUGCAAAAUUAGCGGAUGACCUGUGGAUAGGGGUGAAAGGCUAAACAAACUUGGAAAUAGCUGGUUCUCUCCGAAAACUAUUUAGGUAGUGCCUCAAGUAUUACCGUCGGGGGUAGAGCACUGUUUUGGCUAGGGGGUCAUGGCGACUUACCAAACCAAUGCAAACUCCGAAUACCGACGAGUACAGCUUGGGAGACAGAGCACCGGGUGCUAACGUCCGGACUCAAGAGGGAAACAACCCAGACCGCCAGCUAAGGUCCCUAAAAUUGGCUAAGUGGGAAACGAAGUGGGAAGGCUAAAACAGUCAGGAUGUUGGCUUAGAAGCAGCCAUCAUUUAAAGAAAGCGUAAUAGCUCACUGAUCGAGUCGUCCUGCGCGGAAGAUGUAACGGGGCUAAGCCAGUUACCGAAGCUGCGGAUUUGCAAUUUAUUGCAAGUGGUAGGAGAGCGUUCUGUAAGCCUGUGAAGGUGCGUUGUAAAGCGUGCUGGAGGUAUCAGAAGUGCGAAUGCUGACAUGAGUAGCGUUAAAGGGGGUGAAAAGCCCCCUCGCCGUAAGCGCAAGGUUUUCUACGCAACGUUCAUCGGCGUAGAGUGAGUCGGCCCCUAAGGCGAGGCAGAGAUGCGUAGUUGAUGGGAAACAGGUCAAUAUUCCUGUACCGAUGUGUAGUGCGAUGUGGGGACGGAGAAGGUUAGCUCAGCAGACUGUUGGAUAUGUCUGUUCAAGCCUGUAGUCGUGCCUGGUAGGUAAAUCCGCCGGGCUUAGAUGAGGGGUGAUAACGAGGAUGCUUGCAUCCGAAGUGAGUGAUACCCUGCUUCCAGGAAAAGCCACUAAGCUUCAGCUACACACGACCGUACCGCAAACCGACACUGGUGCGCGAGAUGAGUAUUCUAAGGCGCUUGAGAGAACUCAGGAGAAGGAACUCGGCAAAUUGACACCGUAACUUCGGAAGAAGGUGUGCCUUUAGUAUGUGAACCUGAACAAGGGGAGCAGAAUGAGGCCUCAGAGAAUCGGUGGCUGCGACUGUUUAAUAAAAACACAGCACUCUGCAAACACGAAAGUGGACGUAUAGGGUGUGACGCCUGCCCGGUGCUGGAAGAUUAAAUGAUGGGGUGCAAGCUCUUGAUUGAAGUCCCAGUAAACGGCGGCCGUAACUAUAACGGUCCUAAGGUAGCGAAAUUCCUUGUCGGGUAAGUUCCGACCUGCACGAAUGGCGUAACGAUGGCCACACUGUCUCCUCCUGAGACUCAGCGAAGUUGAAAUGUUUGUGAUGAUGCAAUCUCCCCGCGGAAAGACGGAAAGACCCCAUGAACCUUUACUGUAGCUUUGUAUUGGACUUUGAACAGAUCUGUGUAGGAUAGGUGGGAGGCUUUGAAGCCGGAACGCUAGUUUCGGUGGAGCCAACGUUGAAAUACCACCCUGGUGUGUUUGAGGUUCUAACCUAGGUCCAUUAUCUGGAUCGGGGACAGUGCAUGGUAGGCAGUUUGACUGGGGCGGUCUCCUCCCAAAGCGUAACGGAGGAGUUCGAAGGUACGCUAGUUACGGUCGGACAUCGUGAUGAUAGUGCAAUGGCAUAAGCGUGCUUAACUGCGAGACUGACAAGUCGAGCAGAUACGAAAGUAGGACAUAGUGAUCCGGUGGUUCUGUAUGGAAGGGCCAUCGCUCAACGGAUAAAAGGUACUCUGGGGAUAACAGGCUGAUACCGCCCAAGAGUUCAUAUCGACGGCGGUGUUUGGCACCUCGAUGUCGGCUCAUCUCAUCCUGGGGCUGUAGCCGGUCCCAAGGGUAUGGCUGUUCGCCAUUUAAAGAGGUACGUGAGCUGGGUUUAAAACGUCGUGAGACAGUUUGGUCCCUAUCUUCCGUGGGCGCUG